GACGAACGCUGGCGGCGUGCCUAAUACAUGCAAGUCGAGCGCAGGAAAUCGACGGAACCCUUCGGGGGGAAGUCGACGGAAUGAGCGGCGGACGGGUGAGUAACACGUAAAGAACCUGCCCUCAGGUCUGGGAUAACCACGAGAAAUCGGGGCUAAUACCGGAUGGGUCAUCGGACCGCAUGGUCCGAGGAUGAAAGGCGCUCCGGCGUCGCCUGGGGAUGGCUUUGCGGUGCAUUAGCUAGUUGGUGGGGUAAUGGCCCACCAAGGCGACGAUGCAUAGCCGACCUGAGAGGGUGAUCGGCCACACUGGGACUGAGACGCGGCCCAGACUCCUACGGGAGGCAGCAGUAGGGAAUCUUCCACAAUGGACGAAAGUCUGAUGGAGCAACGCCGCGUGAACGAUGAAGGCCUUCGGGUCGUAAAGUUCUGUUGUAAGGGAAGAACAAGUGCCGCAGGCAAUGGCGGCACCUUGACGGUACCUUGCGAGAAAGCCACGGCUAACUACGUGCCAGCCGCCGCGGUAACAC
rnacentral:rRNA from 1 species